rnacentral:rRNA from 1 species
GAUGAACGCUGACAGAAUGCUUAACACAUCCAAGUCAACUGUGGCGGACGGGUGAGUAACGCGUAAAGAACUUGCCUCACAGAUAGGGACAACAUUUGGAAACGCAUGCUAAUACCUGAUACUGUGAGAGAGCUUUGCGUCCCAUUAGCUAGUUGUAAAGGUAACGGCUCACCAAGGCGAUGAUGGGUAGCCGGCCUGAGAGGGUGAUCGGCCACAAGGGGACUGGGACACGGCCCUUACUCAUCCGUGAGGCAGCGAUGGGGAAUAUUGGAAAAUGGACCAAAGUCUGAUCCAGCAAUUCUGUGUGCAAGAUGAAGUUUUCGGAAUGAAAAGUGCUUUCAGUUGGGGAGCGGUACCUACAGAAAAAGUGACGGCUAAAUACGUGCCAGCAGCCGCGGUAAUAC